CCUACGGGAGGCAGCAGUGGGGGAUAUUGCACAAUGGGGGGAACCCUGAUGCAGCGACGCCGCGUGGGUGAAGAAGCGCCUCGGCGCGUAAAGCCCUGUCAGCAGGGAAGAAAAUGACGGUACCUGAAGAAGAAGCCCCGGCUAACUACGUGCCAGCAGCCGCGGUCAUACGUCGGGGGCAAGCGGUAUCCGGGUUUACUGGGUGUAUAGGGGGCGCAGACGGCGAUGCAAGCCAGGAGUGAAAGCCCGGGUCCCAACCCCGGGACUGCUCUUGGAACUGGGUGGCUGGAGUGAAGGAGGGGCAGGCGGAAUUCCUGGUGUAGCGGUGAAAUGCGUAGAUAUCAGGAGGAACACCGGUGGCGAAGGCGGCCUGCUGGACUGCAACUGACGUUGAGGCCCGAAAGCGUGGGGAGCAAACAGGAUUAGAUACCCUUGUAGUC
rnacentral:rRNA from 1 species